rnacentral:rRNA from 1 species
UACGUAGGGUGCAAGCGUUAAUCGGAAUUACUGGGCGUAAAGCGUGCGCAGGCGGUUAUGUAAGACAGAUGUGAAAUGCCCGGGCUUAACCUGGGAACUGCAUUGGUGACUGGCAGGCUUUGAGUGUGGCAGAGGGAGGUAGAAUUCCACGUGUAGCAGUGAAAUGCGUAGAGAUGUGGAGGAAUACCGAUGGCGAAGGCAGCCCCCUGGGCUAACACUGACGCUCAUGCACGAAAGCGUGGGGAGCAAACAGG